rnacentral:rRNA from 1 species
UACAGAGGGUGCGAGCGUUAAUCGGAAUUACUGGGCGUAAAGCGUGCGUAGACGGUCAAGUAAGUCGGGUGUGAAAGCCCCGGGCUCAACCUGGGAAUUGCAUUCGAGACUGCGUGGCUAGGGUGCGGAAGAGGGAAGCGGAAUUUCCGGUGUAGCGGUGAAAUGCGUAGAUAUCGGAAGGAACACCAGUGGCGAAGGCGGCUUUCUGGUCCGAAACUGACGCUGAGAUGCGAAAGCCAGGGGAGCAAACGGG